CGGAACAGGACUGCACCAUCCUUCCGGUCCUCAGUCACUUCUGCCGCCCCAGAAGGCAGCAGAAGGACCACAGCCAUCGCCCGUCUCCCAUCUCCAAGAUGGCGGAGGCAGCUUCAAGCUUACCUCUCGCGAGGAGUUCGUCCCACUGUCUCUGAUUAGCCCCGAGGUCAGAGGUAUCCGAAGGCUCCAUGAGAGCCAAGGUGACAAAUUUUGAAAAAUGAAAGAAGACACACCCGCUGUCUCUCAGUUGCCAUGUGGGAAGCGUUUCUGAAGGCUCUCCGCUGCCGUGGUCUCCUUGUGCUGUGCUGGAAAUCGCGAGGUGCUGCGGCGAUUUUCACAUCCGAGAGGUUUUGCCUCCUUAUUCCCUGCCCCUUCCCUCUGUGUAGAUCUGAGCCUGCAAAUCCGGAGAGCGGACUGUUGAGUAAAUCCCAUGGCCUCUGCUCUACUUUUUCUGCCCUCUUAAAUGUCGGCGUUUUCCCAAGGUUCCAUCGUCGUUCCACCUCCAACUGGACACCUUGCUCCUUGAACUCAAUCAGAUACCGUGAUUCCCUAAUCUUUUAGUUCUGUAUAAAUCUGCUCAGCCUUCUGUAUUAUGAUCUGUGAAUCAACCGUUCAACAACUGUCUAGACCAGAAACUUUGGCAUCAUCUUUGAUUUUUUUUCCCUCACUUUUAAAACCCCGUGAU